rnacentral:lncRNA from 1 species
UGGGGUUUUGUUUCGGUCUAGAUCUGCAUUUCUGUUCGAAUGUUUGCUAUUGGGGUCGGUUCGUGCUGUUUGUGAGAUCGAUUCUGGGUUUAAUCGUCGUGGUUUUUUUUUUUGCUGCGAAGUGAUUUUUCUCAUCUGGGUUGAGCUAGAGCGUUUGGGACCAUGGGGCUCACGUUCACGAAGCUCUUUAGCCGGCUCUUCGCCAAGAAGGAGAUGAGGAUUCUGAUGGUGGGUCUCGAUGCCGCUGGUAAGACCACCAUCUUGUACAAGCUCAAGCUCGGAGAAAUCGUCACCACGAUCCCCACUAUUGGUGAGUUCUCGACUGCCCGACAUGGUUUCCAAUCGAAUAAAGUUGUCUUUUUUAUUUAUAUCUGCAAUACUACAAGAUCUACGUGUCAGAUUUAUAAAUGGAUCGUGAUGCAGGAGGAUAUACUAUUGUCAUUUUUCAUCGUUUUUUAUGAUCUAGAAUUAGUUGCGAAGAAGAAUUGGCACCUCAUAGGUGCGGUAGAAUGAGCUACCAGCCUGUUUGUGCCAAAAUUAUUUGACUAUGAUAUUAUAUCAGGAUUUCUAUGCAUCGAUAUGGUCUAUUUCAAUUGAUAGGUUGUAUUGAGUGAAUUUAAGGGAUAGCACAUUGAAGAGAUACCAUUUGAACACAUUUAGAUUUUCUAACUGGUAGGUGAGGAAAGAGUUACCGGCUGAGAUUUGUUGUACUCGAAACUAAAUCUAGUCAUAAGAGCAGAUAGGAUGUUCGGGUCGUUUGGGUAUCCGCCCCUUUCCAUUGAGUGUUUUAACUUGUGGCCUUAACUCUGAAAUCUUGGUUUGUGGACUCUUCUCAUUAACCCAAGGUAAACAUGCAACAUCUUUUGACUUUUUUAUCACUGUGAUUGAUAUAGCUUCCUUCUUUCUCUGUAGGAUUUAAUGUAGAGACAGUCGAAUACAAGAACAUCAGCUUCACAGUUUGGGAUGUCGGGGGUCAGGACAAGGUUGCUCUAUGUGCCUCUUGAUGUUUGCUCCUUUAUAGCUUUCCACAUGCUUUUGUUUCCAGCUUGCAUGUCAUCAGAAACGCAAAUAGAGGCAGGAGGUCCUGAUAGUUGUUAUAAUCCUGUCUUCUGAAGGGCACAUGUACUUAAGCUCAGUCUUCUGCUGAUUCAUUGACACAUCCACCCCACAUGGUGCAAAAUUCACAUGGCUAGGGUUCCUUCUCGACCUUUACCCAUAAUUCUGUACUGCAGAUUUUUAUAUUGAUCACUUCAACAUAGGCAUAUUUUUCCUUAGUUGAUGCCUGGUACAGUAAUAUGGUAGUUAUUAAGCACGUGCUCUCAUCUCAUAUGUUGUGUUACAAGAUUACUGACAUAUGAAUCAUAGCCCUCUCUUUUGUGGCAUCGCAAAGCAUUUUUAAGUGUUAUGCAAACUGAUUAAGCUUCUAUUGUGCAGAUUCGUCCAUUGUGGAGGCACUACUUCCAGAACACACAAGGUUUAAUUUUCGUUGUGGAUAGCAAUGAUAGGGAUCGAGUUGUUGAGGCGAGAGAUGAGUUGCAUAGAAUGCUGAAUGAGGUAUUGCUGCAUUUUCUGUUUUGGACAAAUUUACUGUACAUUAUAUAGUCUAAUAUCUAUUGAAUAGAGUAGCUUGUGGCAAGAGGCAGAGGCUUGCAUGAGUGAUGAUAUUGAUCUUGUUGCUUCUUUUGGAUUUACUCUAUAUCAAAGUCCUUCUAAGUCCUUCUCUCAUGAAUCCGGACAUUGAGAUAGAUAUGGCCAACAGAGUGAUGUCUAUUGUACACUGUUUUAGCUUGAAUUUGUAGAUGAUUACCUUUUCCUUGUUCUUUUGUUUUUGUCGAUCUUUGCUUCAUUUGGUUUCUUGUUUAUAAUAACAUUUCUGGUUGCUAGUUUACAAAAAGAAAGAGAAGAAGAAAAUCCCUGUCGCAUUAAACUUUGGAUCUUUUCCCUAAUUGAUGUCGGCCAUGUUGGUUUUUAUUUUUAUUUUUAUUUUUUCAUUUUUUAGUUUUUGUGAAUCUAUGGAUAUGAUCAUUCAAGUCUCUUUAGACAUGGUGUAGACAAGUUUCGCUAUUCUACAGUUCUAUCUUAUGCUUGUUGAGAAAAGGAAAACAGUGCAAUUAACGUUUGAAUCUUGUUUUGUCAGGAUGAGCUGAGAGAUGCCGUUUUGCUUGUGUUUGCGAACAAACAAGAUCUUCCUAAUGCAAUGAAUGCAGCUGAAAUAACUGACAAGCUUGGUCUUCACUCUCUCCGUCAACGCCAUUGGCAAGAGAUUAUCCCUUUUCACUCUUAAUUUUUCUUUUCCUCAGAAAUAUUGCUUUUAAAAGUUGUUAUGUCACAUCCAGCCUAUGAUGCUUGAGAAUCCAUCAAGUGAAAUGAACAAUUUUGCUUUUGAAUUUUGGUGGAAGCUCGUGAGUAUGGAACGUUCCUAGCUCUAUCUUAAUUUGUGAAGCUGAAUAUGAGAACUGCAUGAACUGAUUCCCUUUUGAUCUUGGCCUCUCCUGUGAAAUGGAUGCAUUUACUAUCUUUUCUUCUGAAGUUUCUUUUGGAUGUGAUGUUUUAUCUCAGGUACAUCCAGAGCACCUGUGCAACAUCUGGAGAAGGACUUUACGAGGGUCUGGAUUGGCUUUCCAACAAUAUUGCCAGCAAGGUAAUUAAUGGCCAGUGCAUUGAUUUCCUAUGUAGCUUUUGAUAAAUUCCGAAACUUGGUCAUUGGUGGGGGUGGGUGGGGGUGGGUUUUGGAGCCAUUGCUAGGUUAGUGUCAAGCCCAAGUCUUAUUUUAAGAAUCUGGACUGGAUUGAUAAUUUCAAACAGUCAAAAGGGAAUUUUGGUUAGGUCCAUUUGAGUUACAUAGAACACUGCAUAGUUUUGGUCUGGUACUAUUGGAUAUUUUUAAUAAUGAAAGGAAGCUUACAAGGCCAAAAAGGUCAGAAUUGUAAUUUGCAAUCAGUAAAGAACACUAUAAAGAUUCUGCUGUAUUGCUGAAGCAACUUUGUGUAACGGUAACAACUUGUGCUUUAGUUUUCAUGCAAUUCUUUGUAAUAGGAGAUGGCUGUAUGUAUGACUUAUAUGGUGCCACGGUUCAUAAGCUCAAUGUAUUCCACCGUAGUCAAAUUUGCUUCUGUUAUGUUUAUAUUCUUGCUUAAGUCGGCUACCACUGUUCACUCUGGUUCUCUGUUAUACAAAUCUACUUAAUUUUGGUAUUUUAUCACUUUACCACUGUUCACUUUGGUCUGUUGUUAUAGACAUCUGCUUAAUUUUGGCACUUUAUCACUUCUCAUUUUCUGAUUAAGACAACCAUCCUGUUACUGUUAUUUCAGGCUUGAAAUCUCUGAGGACUUUGACAGGCUUCACGACGGGGCACCAGAAUUAUGUUUGGUCUUGAAAGGAUUUAGUCUUUGUUUUUGCUGUUGAUAUACUGUUGU